CCACCACCACACGGCACACCACCUCUACCCACCCCACACGUACGCUCAUCGACAAGGUUGAAAGCGAAACAGAGGGUGGUGUGAGAGUUUCCCUUUCACCUCCAACGUCUUCGCUCUCAUCAUACAAAAACAAUUCUCUUGUGCACCGCAUGCCUUCGGAAGAUGAGUCGUCGUGGCGGCUUCUCUUCGGCAUCGCCCUGAGCCAUGGCGAGUUGCUCAGAGCAGGGCGCCUCUCGCAUGACGGCUGGAUGGUGUUUCUUAGCUCUGCGCAACUCAUCGGCCCCGCGACAGGGGUCUUUCCUGUUCUGCUCGACCAGCUUUGGCAGCGGCAAUCCUUGAGUGAAGGUGCGCGACAGGCAGGCGCCAACGAGCAUGAUCCAGGACCUGCCUCCGUUUCGUCACGGGCCUUCUCACUUAGCGUUGGGUCAUCGCGUAUGUCUUUGAUAUCCAGAGACUUCCAGCGCUCCGGGAAUAUCACAACAGCGCCGUCGUCCUCAAUGCCGCGGCCGUCGAGCGCGGCGCAUGAAGGCGAAUCUAUUGGAUUCAGCGGCUUUGUGGAUAUGAUGAAGGUGAUCUGCGUGCGUAUCUUCCAAACCCAGCGCUUCACGCGCCUGCGUGAGGGGCACGGGAACUUCGAUGAAGGCGAAGGGGAGUCUGCACUUCGUGCACUACGUGAAAGUGCUGAGGACCACGUUCUGCUGACCGAGUCGGUGAAGUACACAGCCGCUACGUUUCUGCGGCCUUUCAUCUCGCGGUGCGUCAUCCAUGCAUCGUCGCAGAUGCGGCUUCACCCGGCGCGAAAUGGAUGGGCACUGCAUGUGAACCGACUGGUGGCGCACGUUGUCGGAGCCUUACUCCACACGGCAAUUCUUCCGCUUUUCCGCAAGUACGCAGUGGCUGGCCGCCUGUCGGAGGCCGGCUACCGCGCAUUCAUCCGAGACGCUUUCCCUGUACUGGACGCCGUCAAAGAGACUUGCGCGGUGGCCAUCUUCUAUCACGGCGGGUUUCCAGACAUUAGACCCCUUGUGAAGGGUCUGCAGCCGCUAGCAGCGUCGGUCUCUCCAGAGCUCGCCACGGUGGUCUCCGAGCCAACACUUGGCUUCACAGAUUUUAUCGAAGCAAUGCUGAUGCUGACGGUGGUGGUGUACUCGGACGAGGUGCGCUACCCCGCUCAACGACCCAUUACUGCCAAGGUUUGGUCUUUCUUUGAGGAGCAUGUUUGCGGCCGCGCGCUCCGCGGCGCUGCCAUGUGUUCUGACCCGUACGUCACUGGUCGCUACGCCACGGUUCCGCCUGGCCUCGUCGCUGUCUACCCAGCGGUAGCGCCGCGGUUGCAGUGCCCGUGUCUUUUUGUGGAGGUCAUCAAUUUUCAGGGGGAUAACGUGACGGGUGGCGCAGUGCAACCACCUGCAGCGCAAGCAUCCAACAAAGGCCCGCCAUCGUCGCUGUUUCUGACGGAGGUGACAGUCGCCGAAACAGAGUUGUCGUUGUGCUCGCCGUGGGACUGCGGUGCCAACUCCGACGUUGCCUUGCAGGCUGCAGCGACGUUUUUCGCGACCGAAUGGAGCUUGCUGGAGCGGAAUCGAUGUGUACCUCUCUUUGGCCGAAGCCGAGCUUCUGUCAGCCACGCGAUCAUGAUCUGCGGCGCUGCUGUAGAGGCCGCUCCGACGAGGUGCCCUGAAAUUUUGCAGGUUCCCCUCCCCGACUCGCUGCAGCAGCCGACGCUGUAUCAGUGCGCUGUGGAGGCUGCCGCCGCCACAGCAGUCGACGGAGUUUUCGAAGAGGGGGCCGUGUGCAUCCUCUUCACACCCUUCCGCUCUCUUACCGUUGAGUUGGCUGUCUCUGAUGAUGAUGCAGCAACCAGGGACAAAGACGGUGAACCAGCGACACAAACGGGCUCUUGGGGAUGCGCGGACGUUAUUGCGACUGACACGCCCCUUGUGCAAGUCGUCCCGCCCCGCCUGCUCGCGCCGCUCCACACACUCUUCGUAUCUCAAACUCCAGCACGUAGCGGCGACGAUCCAGCCGCAUCUGCGCCGCCCCGCAUAUCGCUUUCGGCGGUGUGCGAGCUGUGCCGGCAGCUGCAGUGGUGCGCCACCUCUUACAAGCAGCAGCACGACUUACCGUCACUAUGCGCACAGGCAUGGACGAAAUAUGGCGACUUUCAGCGCAUUCUUCACUCUACGGUGAGCCGACACGGGAACACUUCCUCCGUCGGUGGAGCGUUGUCAUCCUUCACGGAGCAAGCCGCCUUGCUCAGCUUCACGGACCUCAUCGGCUGCUUAGCCACAGUGCUCUUUCUGGAGCAAGGCGGGAGGCUGAGUGACGUGCCUGACGUGCCGCGCCGUCUAGAGUUCGCGCUGUCCUCCUUUCCAUCUACCUUCACCUCUGCCACUGGAACCGCUUCUCGUGUCCCGGACGCCGGGCUGCGAUCGCCAGACAUCUACAGUAUUCCAUACAACGCCUUCCGUGAUGUGCCCUACCUCACAGCGCUUGAGCGCAAAAGCAAGCAGUCGAAAGAAGCACAGGAGCGCCGCACCGCUUUGAUUGCGUCCUUGCGGGAGCACCACGCACUACAGAUCCCAACCCCUGUCACGCUGCCGCCUCUCCCGGAAGACCGGCCGUGUGCAAUGCGCCUGGUGUCCCAGUACGGCGCGGCAAAUCCGACAACAGUCUUUCACGCUGUCAUGCGCGACGGAGCGGAAGCCAUAAAAGCCCACUUCCUGCAGCAGGAGCUAGCCAUCCCCGAAAUGCCCGAGUGACACAAGGCAUUCGUGGUGGCAGCCGUGCGAGGCUCGACGAAUACGCUGCGGGCCUGUACGCCUUCUUUUUAUGUGUAUGUCUGCUUGCCCUCGCCUUCUCUCACGGACGAUAUCUUGAGCGCAGUCCGGCGUGGUCUGGCGAGCGGGCUUGAUUCGCGCGUCUGAGUGUUUUUGUUCCUUGUGCGUGGGCGGGGCUCUUUUGGAGCGCUUUGCCGCGAGCAGACAUACACGCACGUCAUGUACACUACCGUUGCCCUACAAUGCACGCACCCGCAGGGUGCUGACUGCCUGGAGUAGCAUCCGCAAGCACUUGACGCGAGUCACGUAAACUGUCGCUAAGGAGGAGGGAGGGGAAGGGGUGAUGGUGGUGGAAUGACCAGCAAAGACACAAGGUGCCCCCUCCCCCUAUUGGCUUCGAUGUGCGUGUGCGUGACAAUGAUGGCCUGGCUUGUGGACUAGGCGGCACGCAACACGCACGCACAGCAGGAGGCUCUCUAUUUUCUCCUGACAUGCCUAUCCUCGUUACUCCUCUCGUGUGUGUGCAAGGAGUGUGCUACGACCCACUCCCUGUGUCUUUUCGACGAAGCGCUGCCGCCUCUCAAUGGACUGGAAAAAAAGAGAAAGAUGGACCGGCAGUGCCUCAUCUUCUCAUUGGGGCGACUCCGGCUGCACUGCGGGGCUCAACCCUGAUUAUCUCCCUCUCGCUGCAUCUCCCCCUUUCCCUUCGUUUCCUUUGUUGGUGCCGGUAUUCGUCUGCUUCGCUUUACAG
rnacentral:misc_RNA from 1 species